UUCUUAUCGAGAGUGGUGGAGGGACUGGCCCUAUGAAACCCGGCAACCAAUAUAUUAUAUAUAUAAGGUGCUAAAUCCUGCAGUAAGUAACUGAUAGAUAAGGG
rnacentral:ncRNA from 20 species